GUGUGUGUGUGUGUGUGUGUACAUAAAUACAGUCAUUAAUACAGUGAUGAUCUUGCAGGCGAAUUCAACUGAUCCUACUGACAUUGGCAGCGGCAGUGACCGUGUCCAAAGCGCAGGGGCUGGGAAUACCUCGCUACACCUGGCAGGAGGUGAGGCAGAACCUUGCAACGCACCAAGACGUCACGGAAAUGGUUGACUGUACCCUUGGCAUCCGGCCGACUAGACUAUGUAGGGGCAUGUUCAAUCAACUAAGAGGUUUCGUGUAUGAAGUAGUGCAACGGAACUGCAUUCGCUGCCCACCGCAGACGAGGAGGGUUGUAAAUCAAGCAGUCGCUCACCUCCAGCGUAAUUACACAAGAGAGUUCAACAGACUUAUACGUGGUGUGAGAUCAUAAGGGAGAUUCAUAUACUGUUUUAGACAUAAGUUUGGUUUAAUAUUUUCAAUAAAGGUGUAUCAUGUGGUACUUAACCUAAUCCAAUGUUUUACACUGAAACGUGACAUCUAUCGUGUGUGAAGAGUACUUUUAAUCAUCCCCGCAGUUUUAUCUGAUAAUAAAGCUUUACUCUGAUACAAUUCCCUGUCCCCUUUUGAGCAUUCUUUGUUUCAUCCAUGUAUCCCGUCCCCUUUGAGAUAAGUGAAAUAAACAGACAAAGAAUAACAUCCCA
rnacentral:lncRNA from 1 species